CAGGCUCCUCCCCUCCUGUCCCUCUGUCAUCUGCCUCAUGGUCUCCAAUGGCUGCUCCAGCUCAUCACAGCUGUCAGGGGAGGAGAGAAGUGGGCAUAGGGGGCAAGCCCCCAUCCUUUAAGGGCAUGAGCCAGAAUUUGUACACAUCCCUUCUGCUCACAUCCAUUAGCCAGAAGUUAAUCACACAGCCAUACCUCACUGCAAGGGAGAUGAGAAAGUGGAUGCUAUGCCCAGUGAGAGUGAAGAUCUUUGAUUAUGAAGGUUGAGUGGCCCGGAGAAUAACAAGCAGCCUCUUCCACAGCAGACGGUAAACGGCGCAUGUACAGUAGGACAUAUGCCAAAAAUUUUCAGCAGUGAUCAUCUCUAAAUGGUGAUUUUUAUGUUUGGUUUAUGCUUUUCUGUACAAAUACUCUAAUGAACAUGUACUACCUUUGAAGUCAAGGCAAAAAACGUUACCAUAUUUCCUGUUUAAUUAUUCCAGUCUCCCUGCACUUCUGCUUCAUUUCCUGCCAGGCCAGGGUCUUUACAGUGCCAGCACAGCCCUGGCUCAUUUGGCCUCAGAGUCUUUUAAUCAUGCUGUCCCUAGGGCCCCGAGCGCUGCCUGACCCCCUCCCCCAGCAUCCCCAUUCAGUUCUCCUCCUUCAAGAUCAGUUCAAGAUCCAUCCAUCUGCACUCUUGCUUCUCCAGGAGAAAUUCCCCAACUGUCACAGGCUCUGGGCAGUCUUGCCUCAAAAGUAACCACAUCAGCUGGGUGCAGUGGCUCAUGCCUGUAAUCCCAGCACUGUGGGAGGCCAAGGCGGGCCUUGGCCUGAGGUCGGGAGUUUGAGACCAGCCUAACCCACAUGGAGAAACUCUGUCUCUACUAAAAAUACAGAAUUAGCCAGGCGUGCUGGCAUAUGCCUGUAACCCUAGCUACUCAGGAGGCUGAGGCAGGAGAAUCACUUGAACCCGGGAGGCAGAGCUUGCAGUGAGCCGAGAUUGCACUCCAGCCUGGGCAACAAGGGCAAAAUUCCGUCUCAAAAAAAAAAAAAA
rnacentral:lncRNA from 1 species